GUCAUGUCUUCGACUAACUCCAACCCCUGUGACAUACCUUAAUGUUGCCUCGGCGGAUCAGCCCGCGCCCCGUAAAACGGGACGGCCCGCCAGAGGACCCAAACUCUAAUGUUUCUUAUUGUAACUUCUGAGUAAAACAAACAAAUAAAUCAAAACUUUCAACAACGGAUCUCUUGGUUCUGGCAUCGAUGAAGAACGCAGCAAAAUGCGAUAAGUAAUGUGAAUUGCAGAAUUCAGUGAAUCAUCGAAUCUUUGAACGCACAUUGCGCCCGCUGGUAUUCCGGCGGGCAUGCCUGUUCGAGCGUCAUUUCAACCCUCAAGCCCCCGGGUUUGGUGUUGGGGAUCGGCUCUGCCUUCUGGCGGUGCCGCCCCCGAAAUACAUUGGCGGUCUCGCUGCAGCCUCCAUUGCGUAGUAGCUAACACCUCGCAACUGGAACGCGGCGCGGCCAUGCCGUAAAACCCCAACUUCUGAAUGUUGACCUCGGAUCAGGUAGGAAUACCCGCUGAACUUAAGCAUAUCAAAACAGGGGGAAGGGAA
rnacentral:rRNA from 1 species